rnacentral:rRNA from 1 species
AUGUCGUCGCUGCUGCCCGACGAGGGCAUGGCGAGGGUGCGCCGCAAGAAGGACUUCCGCCACAUGGAGCGCGUCGACGGCCGCAUGCUCAACAUCCUCCAGGGCCUCGAGCUCCACGCCAACGUCUUCUCCCCCGACGAGCAGGCCAGGAUCGUCGCCUGCGUCCUCGACCUCCAGGACCAAGGCCGCCGCGGCCGCCUCCGAGAGCGGACCUACUCGGAGCCGCGCAAGUGGAUGCGGGGCAAGGGCCGGGCCACGAUCCAGUUCGGCUGCUGCUACAACUACGCCGCCGACCGGGACGGCAACCCGCCGGGCAUCGUGCGGGACGAGUCCGUCGACCCGCUGCCGCCGCUCCUCGCCGCCAUGGCGCGCCGCCUCGUGCUCUGGCGCGUGCUCCCGCCCUCCUGCGUGCCCGACAGCUGCAUCGUCAACGUCUACGACGUCGACGACUGCAUCCCGCCGCACGUCGACCACCACGACUUCCUCCGCCCCUUCUGCACCGCCUCCUUCCUCGCCGAGGCGCCCAUCCUCUUCGGCAGGGACAUGCGGGUGGUCGCCCCCGGGGAGUUCUCCGCCGCGGCCUCCAUCCCGCUGCCCGUGGGGUCCGUGCUCGUGCUCGCCGGCAACGGCGCCGACGUCGCCAAGCACUGCGUCCCCGCCGUGCCGGCCAAGAGGAUCUCCAUCACGUUCAGGAAGAUGGACGCCUCCAAGGUCCCGUUCGGCUUCCGGCCCGACCCGCUGCUGCAGAGCCUCGCGGCUGCUGUGGUCCGGCCGGCGAUGACAGCGGCGAGCGCGCCUCCGAACAGAUCAGCCUGGGAGCAGGGCCAGGGCGAGCCGGCCAAGCAUGCCACACCUCAGCAGCAGCAGCAGCAACCGGCGGCGCCUCUGUACCAGGCUGCUGCUGCUGUUAGGGCGGGACAGACACAGUCACAGAGCCCCGGCGGCGGAGUGCCUUUCAGCCUCUCCACCGACGAGUUCCCGGCGCUUGGUGCCUCGCCGGCCAGCGGACGAAGGCCGGGAAGGAGAUAA